rnacentral:rRNA from 1 species
GACAGAGGAGCCAAGCGUUGUCCGGAUUGACUGGGCGUAAAGCGCACGCAGGCGGCUGUGCACGUGGGGUGUGAAAGGUGGCGGCUUAACUGCCACACGCCACCUCAUACGGCACGGCUCGAGCCCGUGAGAGGUCCACGGAAUUGCCGGUGUAGUGGUGAAAUGCGUAGAGAUCGGCAGGAACACCAGUGGCGAAGGCGACUACCUGGCCUGUUUCUUGACGCUGAGGCGCGAAAGCUAGGGGAGCAAACGGG